rnacentral:misc_RNA from 1 species
GAUGAAGAACGUAGCGAAAUGCGAUAAGUAAUGUGAAUUGCAGAGUUCAGUGAAUCAUCGAAUCUUUGAACGCACAUUGCGCCCGUUAGUAUUCUGACGGACAUGCCUGUCCGAGCGUCAUUUCAACCCUCAAGCACGGCUUGGUGUUGGCGGAUUGCGUGCCCUAGCGGCGCUGCACCCGCCCAAAUACAGUGGCGGUCCCGCUGCGGCUCCCUUUGCGUAGUAACUCACCUCGCACUGGACCGGGCGGCGGCUCGCCGUAAAACCCCAACUCACGAAAUGUUGACCUCGGAUCAGGUAGGAAUACCCGCUGAACUUAAGCAUAUCAAUAAGCGGAGGA